CAGAGUGGCCUUGCUGCCACGA
rnacentral:snRNA from 1 species